AUUUUUAUUGCUGGGUCAUGUGGUAAGAGUAUAUUUAGUUUUAGAAGGAACCACCAAAGUGUCUUCCAAAAUGACUACAAUACUUCAUAUUCCCACCAACAAU
rnacentral:pre_miRNA from 1 species